ACAAGACCAAAACAACAACAACAACUCUAACUUGAAAUCAAGGUGAAUCUCAUGUCCAUAGAAUUCAAAAUAGAUAAAGGAAAAGAAAACUAAAAUAAAAUAAAAGGGGGCGGGUUCACACCUUUUUCAGGGCAGUGAACUAAGGCUUUCUCGUUGGAGAUUCGAAAUUGAACUCAGACUAUAAACUCAGAAAGGGAAUAAGAAAAUAAGGAGCAAUACCAAUUUACUGAUGCUUUUGCUAAUUUUAUAGAUGCUAAUUAUUGGUUUUUCUUACUGAUUUUUUUCCUCAUUACAAAUGGGAGCCCAAAGGCUCCUUUUAUAGCCAAAUUUGAGGGCGCGGCGCUGCAACGGUUACCAAUAAGGCUUCAAGAGUUCAAAUUUUGAAUUCUUGGAAAGCCCCAAAUCUCAGAGAGAAAUAGAGGGGCCAAAUUAGAAGGAGAGAAAGGUUGAUUCUUGAUUGUUUACCUUUUUCAGGUUAAUGUGAAGAGAGGAAAAGGCUAUUUCAAUGUGGAAGACUUGGACCAUCGGUUUUGAGGUACAACAACCUCAAAUCCGAUGGUUCUUCAAUUCUUCCACCUUUUCUAGAAG
rnacentral:lncRNA from 1 species